ACCCGCUGAAUUUAAGCAUAUCAUUAAGCGGAGGAAAAGAAACUAACAAGGAUGUCCUUAGUAGUGGCGAAUGAAUAGGACAAAGCUCAAAUUUAAAAUCAGACCUACGUUAGUAGGUAUUGAAUUGUAGUUUUUUGAUUGGGUAUCACUGGCAGCGUCGUUGGGAUGUAAAUCUCUUGGAAUAGUGUAUCAUAGAGGGUGAGAAUCCCGUAUACAAUUUCAAUAGCGCGUCAACUGUGUUACCUUUUCAAUGAGUCGGGUUGUUUGGGAUUGCAGCUCUAAAUAGGUGGUAGAUUUCAUCUAAAGCUAAAUAUUUCGGAGAGACCGAUAGCGAAAAAGUACUGUGAAGGAAAGGUGAAAAGAACUUUGAAAAGAAGGUUAAAAGUACUUGAAAUUGUUAAAAGGGAACCGAAUGGAAUUAGUGAUCAUUUGCUUGUGAUUCAGUGUCUAAUUGAAGUGUAUAUUAUUCAGGGGAGUGUUAAAGCCUCCUGUUUUUUAUAUACCAUUUUAGAUGUGCACUUCACUUGUUUAAUGAGUCAACAUGAAUUCAUCUUGUUAGAGAAAGGUAAUAUGAAAUGUAGGUGCUCCUGUUUAUAAUAGGUAGGUACUGUUAUAUUCUUUUACUAUUAUAACUUGAUGGAUUGAGGUACAAAACACGGUUUGAUGUAUAUCUUACCAACCUUGCUCAAGUAACCUGAUUAUUUAAUAGUUUACUAACUGCUCAGCAGUAGUUUCUUAUUAAUCUUUUAAUUGGAACUUGUUUAAGGAUCUUUGUGUUAGGGAAUGUUGACAAAAUGGUUUUAUUUGACCCGUCUUGAAACACGGACCAAGGAGUCUAACAUGUGUGCGAAUAUUUGAGUGAUAAACUCAUAUAUGAAAUGAAAGUGAGAUAUAGGAUGUCCGUAUGGAUUGCACUAUAAACCGUUUCGACUUCGUGUUGGAUUGAGUUAUAGUAUAUAUGUUAGGACCCGAAAGAUGGUGAACUAUGCGUGUACAGGGUGAAGUCAGGGGAAACUCUGAUGGAGGCUCGAAGCAAUACUGACGUGCAAAUCGUUUGUCUGAUAUGCGUAUAGGGGCGAAAGACUAAUCGAACCAUCUAGUAGCUGGUUUCCUCCGAAAUUUCCCUCAGGAUAGCUGAAGCUCGUAAAUAGUUUUAUCAGGUAAAGCGAAUGAUUAGAGGUACUAGGGUUGAAAUAACCUUAACCUAUUCUCAAACUUUAAAUAGGUAAGAAGCUCCUCUUUGCUUAAUUGAAAAGGAGAUUUGAAUAGAGAGCUUUAAGUGGGCCAUUUUUGGUAAGCAGAACUGGCGAUGCGGGAUGAACCGAACGUUAAGUUAAAGUGCCAAAAUAUACGCUCAUUUAGAUACCAUAAAAGGUGUUGAUUCAUUCAGACAGCAGGGCGGUGGUCAUGGAAGUUGAAAUCCGCUAAGAAGUGUGUAACAACUUACCUGCCGAAUGAAUCAGCCCUGAAAAUGGAUGGCGCUAAAGCGUAUUACUUAUACUUAACCAUUAUGAUAAAAUAUUAAAUCAUGAUGAGUAGGAGGACGUGGGGGUUGUGACGAAGCUUACCUUGUAAGAGGGAGUGAAACAGCCUCUAGUGCAGAUCUUGGUGGUAG
rnacentral:rRNA from 1 species